UUGGAAGUGGGCCCAGCACGGGUGCGGACGGCAGUGACCGAACUCCCCAUGUGCCGGGUUUGUUAACCACCUGCUCAGCUGCUGGGUCCCAAGCAUAGGUGCUCUUCCCUCACUCAAGCCAGCCUCCGCUCUUGAUUUGGACAAUGGAAGAACAAGUGUAUAGGGGACAAAGAGACACCGGUUCUUCAUACUUGACGAGGACAGGAUGUUGUGGGCAGGCUCAGGAGUGUUACCCUCUCUCCAAGAUCGUCAUCCAGGCCAUAGUCCCUUCUCUGCACUGCAAGUGGGGUGGGAGGGGCUGAGCUGGGCGUUCCCUUCCUUCUUCCCUAUGGGGUGUGGGCACAAGGCCUCCAUCUCUCCUCUCUCUAAGGACAGAUCCCCGCCACGGACCUUUGGAACUUCUCAGGACAUUGACAAUGUCGUGUGCACUGCAAGUUGACUUUAUUUAUUUUGUAGGACAAAGAGACAGUAUUCUUUGCAGGGACCUAAAACUGUACCCUAACUGAGAAGUACAAUUAGUAAUGUUAUUAUUAUUAAUAAUAGGGAUGAUUCACAGGCCACACACACACACAUACACACACACACACACACACACACACACACACACACACACACCUGGGAACACCCAAGGAGCAUGUAGGAGAUGAGAUAGAACCAGGUCAUGGAAGCCCAGGAUGCUGAAGAGGGUCUGUGGGUCUGUUAUUGAUCAGGAGAUACAAUAUGGGGGCUCAGGUGUCUGUAACAACAGAGCAGUUCAGGUGGGUGGAUGGGCAGGCAGAUGUAGCCUCGAAACACAUCCCCAGAGGCUUGGCCAUCCUCAAAGUCCGGAAAGGGACAGAGUAGGGCAAACUACUGGGCGUCUUGCCUGGUGAUGUGUUAGAAUUGUGUUUUAGUGUGAAUCUAGAUAGAGAAAGUGGCCAUGCUGGUGGCAUGGGACAACUGCUGAUCCAACUCCAAAGAUCAAAAGGCAUCCAGGUAACCUAUGACAGUGACACUCUUUCCUAUCAUUAAAAGUGUCUGCCUCAUGUUGGAAGAUGCCCCCACUGAAAACCAUGGGAUUUCUUGCCCUAAGUGGGGUAGGAAGGACUUAGGGGUACUAGAUGGCUUGAUCCCAUCCCCAAAUCCUUCAGCUGUCUUGUGUAUUAGUUGACCAUGGACUUGCCCCUUGAGACAUCCUGGACUUUGGAAGGACAGGAGCAUCCCCAAGGCAGUCCCUCACAGAGGCAGAGGGAUCAUACUAAGGGAGGGAAGGAAAGGAGUUGGGGCCAGACCCCCAAGAAGCCAAGUGGGUCCGCUUAACCUGUACACAGGAGAAGGAAGAAACAUCACUAAAAUCGGGCCUGGAGCUGGGGUGUUGUUCAUGAGAUCCUGUGGUGUGGCUGGGUGCGGAUGUUUUCUGAGCAUGCUCACACCCCUCCCAACUUCACAUCCUUAGAAAUAGUGGGGCCGGGGCCAUGAUGCCUUCCCUCAAAAGGAUGAGGCGAAGCCUGCAACUCCCAGUGUCUUAAGACCUUCAGGGUCCUUUGAGCUGUGUCCUUGUCUCUACAUGGGGACAGACUCCUUAGGUGUUCCUGCAGUCCCACCCUUACUUCUUGUGCCAAGGAUCAGCUUCUUACUGGGCAUAUAAGGCAGCUGUGUCACUGUUUCCACCUGAUUGAACUUUGCCUCCUGUCCAGUCUCCAUCUCUCCCGGAUAGUCUAGUCCCUGGGUCUAACCACCACCCUCCACUUCCUGAUGGCUCCCGCAAGUGCGGUCUUUGUGGCAGUACCAUGUCCUGCCUCAUGGCUAAAUGGUACAGGACAUUUUCCCAGUCUGAGUGGUCCUAACAUGUGCAUGUGUGCUCAUGAAUACAUACAUGCUGUGGGUGGGUAGAGGGGUGCAUUCUGUUCUGCCUUUGGUGCAGCCACACAGCCACAACCUCUUGCUGUCAUUGACCCUCUUGUUCUUGUGGCCACAGACAAUCUUCCGAUGCCCGGUGCUGCCGUUCUCCUCCGAGGGCUGACAACCUGGUGUUCAGAGUAGAGUUCAUGAACUAGGAUGUGAAGCCCUUCUCCUUACUGAACUUAUUUAAUUAAAAAUGAACAUGUAGGGGUUGGAAAGAUGGCUCAGUGGUUAAGAGCACUGGCUGCUUUUGCAGAGGACCUGCAUUCAAUUCCCAGCAAACACAUGGUGGCUCACAACUGUUUGUAAUGACUUCUGGGGGCCUCUUCUGGCACGCAGGUGUAUCUGCAGAUAGAGCACUCAUGCAUAAAAUAAAUAAAUCUUAAAAAUAAAUAAACAAACAAACGUGCUGU
rnacentral:lncRNA from 1 species